rnacentral:lncRNA from 1 species
CUGGGUCUUGGGAGUGCAGGGGCAGCUGCAGGCAGGAGGGCAGGAGGAUUUGAGCAGCUGGGCUAAGGUCAGGCACAGAGGCUUGGGCUCAGCAGACAGCCAAAUGCUCGGCCCAGCUGCUACUGCCUCUUUCUGGGCCCUGUGCAGGAGGCAGACGCUGGCUGCCAGGCUGGCGGGCUCCCCUCCACGGCUGCAAGGCCACCCAGGCCCAGGGGUCUGCUCUUCCCUCUCCUCCUGCUGAAUGGCAUUCUUUCCUUUUCUUUCUCUGUCUCCUCACUCUCCCUUUCCUUCUAUUCCUUUUCUCCCUCAUCUCUUUGUGUCUUCAUUUCUGUCUUUGUCUUAUCCUAUGUCUCUCUUCUUUGUAUUUUUUCCCUCCCUCUCUCAGUUUCUUGGCCUCUCUUCAUCUCUCUGUCUCUGGGUUAAAAGUUGUAGGAAAAGGAUAGGAGGUGGGGCCCAAGAGGAAUCCCAGAUGAAACUGAGCUGAGCUCCUACUACGAUUUCAAUGUCUGUGUUUCCCCAAAAUUUAUAUGUCGAUCCCUAAUCUCCAGUGCAAUAGUAUUAGGAGGUGGGGCCUUUGGAAAGUGACUAGGUCAUGAGAGUGGAGCCCUCAUGAAUGCAACCAUAAGAGAGGCCUGAAGGAACUGUUUGCACCUUCUGCCAUGUGAGGUCAUAGCUACAAGGCGCUAUCUAUGAAUGUAUGAACAAGAAAGUGGGCUGUCAUCAGACAUCACACCUGCCACCACCUUGAUCUUGAACUUCCAGCCUCCAGAACUCACCUGGCAUGACAGUAAAUUCAUGCAUAAAUGCCCAAGGUCACAGAGCUGGGAUGAGAACCCAAGGCCUUCAGAAUGUCCAUCAAACUGUCGCUUCCUGACCUCUCGAAAUCACAGAAGCAAGAUCAGAUUCUAGGACUGAAAGGGGAAGAAACAGAAUUCUCCCUCUGAUGCCGA